CCAAAAAUCUAGCCCACACAAACCCACCACUAUGCACAAACCAAUAAAAUAUUUUAACGCCCUAGUAAAGACGAUUGAAAAACCUGCAAGAGCCAUAGACAUUGUACCGCAAGGGAAAGAUGAAAUAAAUUAAAUACUUAAGCACAAUAUAGUAGAGAUUUUCCCUCGUACCUUUUGCAUCAUGAUUUAACUAGUUUAUUCAAGCACAAAGACUUAAAGUUUGAACCCCCGAAACUGAGUGAGCUACUUCAUAGCAGCUUUAUGAGCGAACCUGUCUCUGUUGCAAAAGAGUAGGAAGACUAUCAAGUAGAAGUGACAAACCUAACGAACUCGGUGAUAGCUGGUUUCUCGGGAAAAGAAUCUUAGUUCAACCUAAAGACAACACAAUAACCACAUACAAAUAUCACUUUAACUUUAGAGUAAUUCAAACAAGGUACAGCCUGUUUGAAAAAGGACACAACCUUAAACUGCGGGUAAUAAUCACCAUUUAUAUCAAGUAGGCCUAAAAGCAGCCAUCUUAACAAAAUGCGUCAAAGCUUCACAUAAUUCUAUACACAAACCCUCAUAGACCCCCCCCCCCCCCCCACUGAGAACUUCUAUGCCAACAUAGAAAAUUUUAUGUUAAAACUAGUAACAAGAAAAAAUUCUCUAGCAAUAGAAAUGUAAGCCAAAAUGGACCUCCCACCGGCACUUACUCAGCCAUGAAAGAUAAUAGCAACUCAUCAAGAAAACUCUAUUUUUUGUACUGUUGACCUUACACAAGACUAUUUCAAGAAAGAUUAAAAUGGAAAGAAGGAACUCGGCAAAUGGAGAUCCCGCCUGUUUACCAAAAACAUCGCCUCUUGCCCCAUCCAUAAGAGGUCUAGCCUGCCCAGUGACUAAAAUUCAACGGCCGCGGUAUCCUGACCGCGCGAAGGUAGCGUAAUCACUUGUUUUUUAAAUAAAGACUAGUAUGAACGGCAUCACGAAGAUCAAACUGUCUCCUCUCCACAAUCAGUGAAACUAAUCUCCCCGUGAAAAAGCAGGGAUUAACCUACAAGACGAAAAGACCCUAUGGAGCUUUAAACACAUAACUAUUGCCCCAGGCACUGUAGUUAUAAGUUUUAGGUUGGGGCGACCACGGAGAAAAACCUAUCCUCCAUGACGAAUAAGUUUACUUUAAACAAAAAAUCACAACUUUAUGCAUCAACAAAUUGACCUACUGACCCAAUAAUUUGAUCAGCGAACCAAGUUACCCUAGGGAUAACAGCGCAAUCCACUUUGAGAGUUCAUAUCGACAAGUGGGCUUACGACCUCGAUGUUGGAUCAGGGUACCCCAGUGGUGCAGCCGCUACUAAAGGU
rnacentral:rRNA from 1 species